rnacentral:rRNA from 1 species
UACGUAGGGGGCAAGCGUUGUCCGGAUUUAUUGGGCGUAAAGAGCGUGUAGGCGGUUAUACAGGUCCGCUGUGAAAACUGGAGGCUCAACCUCGAGAUGUCGAUGGAAACCGUCUGGCUAGAGUCCGGAAGAGGAGUGUGGAAUUCCUGGUGUAGCGGUGAAAUGCGCAGAUAUCAGGAAGAACACCUAUGGCGAAGGCAGCACUCUGGGACGGUACUGACGCUGAGACGCGAAAGCGUGGGGAGCGAACAGG